AAAAAGGCAAACCCUGGGUUUCUGUGUCCAACUUUGACUGUCUGUCUUAUAUGAAAUUUUUUUAUAAUUCGUAUUUUCAUUGUUGUUAGAUGAUAAAACAUGGUUAAUAUUUUAUGCGUGACUUGUCUUUUUAAUUUUUUUUAUAAUUUUUUAAAAUAAGACGGACGGUUAAACGUUUGGCACGGAAACCAGGGUUUGUCUUUUU
rnacentral:pre_miRNA from 1 species